GUCUAGGUUUUGCCUUUCCUUUUCUAUUUCGUUCGGCUUCUUACUUCGCUUUGCACGAGCUCUUCUUCGUCGCUGUUCCUCUUCUUCGUCGCUGUUCGACUUCGCUCCUUCGACAACGUUAGUUUGGAACUGUUUAAACUUAUAGGUUGGUAUCUGGUGCUGUUAAAGUGUAGAGUGACUCUUCGUGAAAAUGCCUAAAGUAAAGACAAGCCGCAUUAAAUAUCCAGAAGGAUGGGAGCUUAUUGAGCCUACUUUUCGUGAGCUUGAGGGUAAAAUGAGAGAAGCUGAAAAUGAUCCACAUGAUGGAAAGAGAAAAUGUGAGGCAUUGUGGCCAAUUUUCAAAAUUGCACAUCAAAAGAGUCGGUACGUAUAUGACCUAUAUUACCGGAGGAAG